rnacentral:lncRNA from 1 species
CAGGCUGGAGUGCAAUGGCGAGAUCUUGGCUCACUGCAACCUCUGCCUCCCUGGUUCAAGCGAUCCUCCUGCCUCAGCCUCCUGAGUAGCUGGGAUUACAGGCUGUCACUCUGUCACCCAGGCUGGAGUGCAGUGGUUAUCCAUGCUCACUGCAGCCUCAACCUCCUGGGCUCAAGCAAUCCUCCCGCCUCAGCCUCUCAAGUAGCUGGACUGCAGGUGUGCACCACCAUGCCAGAAUAAUGAAAACAAUUUUUUUUAUUUUUAUUUUUUGUAGAGAUAGGGGUCUCACUCUGUUGCCCAGGCUGGUCUUGAACUCCUGGGCUCAAGCAAUCUGCCUGCUUUGGCCUCCCAGAAUGUUGAGAUUACAGGCGUGAGCCACCACGCCUGGCCACUGCUGCAGAUCACUUUACCCAAGUAUCACUCUACAUGUUCUGGGGGUGGGGCCCAUGACACUGUGCUUAUGGAACAAUGCGGAGGAUUGGUUUCCAGAGAGUCGCAGUUUGCCUAAAGCCUGACAGCCAGGACUCCAGUUCAGGCCCUUGCGUGCAAAUGCAGUGAUAGCUUCUGUCGCGGCAGGGAGAAGGGAGAGGUUCUUUCUGGUGAGAAAAAAUAGGAGCUGGCAUCUGAGCCAGCCUUAGAAGGAUGAACUGGAGAACUGGAGGCGGAACACUGCAGACUCUGAAACAGGCCUGGGAAGGAGUUUGCUCUGUCCUUUCAUGUCAAAAUCCACUGGACUGACCCACACUAACUGACUACUGGAAAGGUUCCAGGCUUUGUGCUGGGCCCAGGGGCCACAAAGUAAGCAAGAGAGCCAUCGUCCCUGCCCUCAUGGAGCUCCAGCCCAAGGGACAGCAGCUUAUCCUACGCCAAGGGGCUCCUCUCAAAAUUCCCACAGCAGUAGUGAUCUAAGGACCUGGGCAGGGGCACUGGACUUCAAGUCUCAGCCUCUGGAUGUAGCAGAAGCGACGCUGUGUGAGUUCCCAGGCUGAGGCUGCAGAGAUUUGAGGCAUCUUCUCUCACCCAGCUUGAAGUCCUUCCCCUUGGAAGCCAGUCACCGUGAAAAAACUCACCAUGCUGUGAGGAAGCCCAAGAGAGCUGCAUGGAGAGAAGGGCCUGUGGAAGAGCUCUGAGGUGCCACUCACAUGAAGUGAGCCUUUGUGGACCUUCCAGCCCAGCCACCAGCAAACACAACCCAGCAAGAGGCCUGGGGAGCCUGCUCACCCCUUCCACCACGUGAGGACAAGGCUAUAAGGCAUCUAUGAGGAAACGGCCCUCAUCAGACACCGAAUCUGCAGGCACAUUCAUCUUGGAUUUCCCAGCCUCCAGAACUGUGA